UACGGAAGUGGCAAGCGUUGUCCGGAAUCACUGGGCGUAAAGAGGACGUAGGCGGGUAACUAAGUUGGACGUAAAAACCAUCUGCUCAACGGAUGGCCGCCUUCCAAAACUGGUUACCUUGAGUCUAACAGGGGAGAGUGGAACUUCUGGUGUAGCGGUGGAAUGCGUAGAUAUCAGAAGGAACACCGACGGCGAAGGCAGCUCUCUGGGUUAAGACUGACGCUGAGGUCCGAAAGCUAGGGUAACAAACGGGAUUAGAUACCCGCGUA
rnacentral:rRNA from 1 species